GCAUAUCAAUAAGCGGAGGAAAAGAAACCAACAGGGAUUGCCCCAGUAACGGCGAGUGAAGCGGCAACAGCUCAAAUUUGAAAUCUGGCCCCGGCCCGAGUUGUAAUUUGUAGAGGAAGCUUUUGGCGCGGCACCUUCUGAGUCCCCUGGAACGGGGCGCCAUAGAGGGUGAGAGCCCCGUAUAGUCGGAUGCCUAGCCUUUGUAAAGCUCCUUCGACGAGUCGAGUAGUUUGGGAAUGCUGCUCAAAAUGGGAGGUAAAUUUCUUCUAAAGCUAAAUACCGGCCAGAGACCGAUAGCGCACAAGUAGAGUGAUCGAAAGAUGAAAAGCACUUUGAAAAGAGGGUCAAAAGUACGUGAAAUUGUUGAAAGGGAAGCGCUUGUGACCAGACUUGCGCCGGGCCGAUCAUCCGGUGUUCUCACCGGUGCACUCGGCCCGGCUCAGGCCAGCAUCGGUUCUCGCGGGGGGACAAAGGUCCCGGGAACGUAGCUCCUCCGGGAGUGUUAUAGCCCGGGGCGUAAUGCCCUCGCGGGGACCGAGGACCGCGCUCUGCAAGGAUG
rnacentral:rRNA from 1 species